rnacentral:lncRNA from 1 species
GGAAUUCCAGCCUCCUGAGAGGGUUCUGAGAGGCUUCAUGGACAGUUCCAAGUUGAGCUCAAUCAAGUGACUGAAGACACCAGAAACGGGCUGAUGCCCGGCUGCAGCUUGCUCCUUGGGAGCCCGUGUGCUGUGUGCUGUGUGGUUUCUGAGUGAGGCCUCUUUCUGACACUGCCUACUGAUUCUGCUGCAUAAAGAAUGCUAUCACCUCGAAGGGUCAUGUUAAUGAGCGACUCCUUUAUCAAUAAUAGAUAGAACUCGUCAGUGUCAGCCUUCAAAUUGGCUUGAAAAUGGAUUUUACCACUUUGUAAACAAAAGCACGCACAAUAGCGAACUCCUGGCAGAAAGGUUUGUGAUGUGUCACACAGAUCUCCCUGAGAACUCUUCAAGGCAAAAACCGAUCAUUUAGAAUACUGUAAGAAGAAUCGCUUCGACAGGAGAGGUGCCUCACACAUGCCCUGGACCUGCACAGGGACCAGGAGAGGCCAGAAGGACUGACAGCAGAAGCCAGAGGGCACCAGGGAAUCCAGGGAAAGCCGGCAGGAAACCCCACCCCAGAACUCCAGGAACACCCGAGGCUGCGGAGAUCAAGGGCUCCUGCCCUCUUCCCCUCCCCCACAGUACCACAUGCCACCUGCCAGAGCCAGAGAGAUCUGAGAACUUCCGUGCAACUGUGACAGCGGCUUAGUCCAACCGUUUGUACCGAAGCCGACUCCGGUCAGAAGAGCUUCUUUUUGCAAUGGGCAUUGGUUAAUGCAGAGACCCCCCUAAAACUGGUCAAAUUCAGGGGACACAAAGGAAGGGGGAGCAGAAAGAAUGUGAGGACCAGAAGAUGGGGAGGGAGGGCACUGUGUUAUGCUGUCUUCUAGCCCUGAUAUGUGGGUGCUCACGGACCCACAGUAGUUGUGCUUGCCUGCACAAGUUCAAGUCAGUCAGCUGUCCAGCGUUAGGAGGGAAGGGCCCCGCAGGCACUCACCCCUAGGUGAGGAGCUAUUGGCAGUUCAUGCCUACUAAGAGAAGGAGAGCCAUUUCUCUUUGGUGCUUGGCCUUGGUGGCUUGUCU